rnacentral:rRNA from 1 species
UACGUAGGGAGCAAGCGUUGUUCGGAUUUACUGGGCGUAAAGGGCGCGUAGGCGGCCUUGAAAGUCGGGGGUGAAAUCCCACGGCCUAACCGUGGAAGUGCCUCCGAUACUGCAAGGCUCGAGGGAGGUAGGGGCAGCUGGAACUUCCGGUGGAGCGGUGAAAUGCGUUGAUAUCGGAAGGAACGCCGGUGGCGAAAGCGAGCUGCUGGACCUCUGCUGACGCUGAGGCGCGAAAGCCAGGGGAGCAAACGGG